rnacentral:misc_RNA from 1 species
CUAGUAUCGCGAGAUCAGGAAGGUGGCCGAGUGUGUCGCCGCGGCCAUCAGGCACUUCUCCUUCCUGCCCUUGUAUGAAGAAGGAUGUGUUUGCUUCCCCUUGUGCCAUGAUUGUAAAUUUCCUGAGGCCUCCUCAGCCCUGCAGAACUGGGGUUAUAGCCAUGUGACUGAUCUUCGUCCAAGAAUAUGUAAAGAAAAAGUGUUGAGUUGGCUUUUAGGGCUAGAGCAAUGUAUCUUAGGCUCACUUAAGGAAGCUGUAGAGAUGAGCCCAAGGAGGGAAACCAGAAGAGCCCCCCAGGCUCACCAGUUGUUUGUUGGCUCCCUACAAACAUGUCAUUCAAGUGGCUAAUCUUACAACAGCACAAAUUCAUCUAACCAGAAAGAGAAGAGGAGGCUCCAAAGGCACUUGACUACUGAGCAUCACCCUGGACGUGUACAAGUCUGCGUCCUUAUUGUUUUCUUCAUUGGGCCGAACUUUCUGGUCCUCAUCCAACAGCUCUUCUAUCACGUGUUCGAAAGUGUCAGCCAAUGAUGUCAAGCCUCUUGAACCUGCCUUGGGCCCAUUCACGCUCUCCAGAGUCCCAUGGGUCCGCACACCUGGAGAUACUCUAUUAUAGCAAAGAAGAAAGAUAAUUUCAUUGAGCCAUCCUGUUUUACAGGAAAUUCUGCAAGUGGCAACGUGGGUCCAUUCCGUGUGUGUCACUAGAGCUGGCGCAAGCCCAUGGCCAUGGUGAGGCAGCGUUUCCACUGGAACUAAUCUGAUACCUGCACCAGCUCUUGCAACUGUGCAGUGUUCCCACUGCAAACUACGGAUGGGGUAAAAGACUGCUCACCUCCUAUUUCUCAUCUAAUCUCACACACUCUGUUUGAUGAGGCUAUGGAGAAACAGGUCUUCUCAUACACUAAAGGUGGGAGUACAAACAAUUCAAGCCCUGUGCAGGACAAUUAGGCAAUACCUAUCAAAAUUAUACAUGAUUUUUCCUGCUGACCCAGCAAUUCCACUUCUGGGAAUAAUUGACAGAUAUAGGUGCAUAUGUACAAAAUGAUGGAAAGCUCUCUGGUAUAUAUUAGUAAGUGAUAAAACAAGGUGUAAAAUAGUGUAUAUAUGGCUACUACCUUUUGUUUUAAAAAUGGGGGAAAAUGGUGGAGCUUGCGGUGAGCCGAGAUCGUGCCACUGCACUCCAGCCUGGGCGACAGAGCGAGACUCCGUCUCAAAAAAAAAACAGGGUGGGGUGGGGGGGAAAUAAUAGUACAUACUCAUAUUUACCUGUAUCUAUAUAAAACACACUAUCAAGGAUUCACAAGAAACUAAUACAAAUGAUCACCUUAUAGAUGGUAUGUAUUGGGGGAUACUGAGGUGAGCAGGGUAUAAGUGGGGCAAGACUUUUCAGUGUAAACUUCUUUUAAAUUUUAUUUUGAUUUUUGAAUAAUGUAAAUUAACUGUCAAAUAAUUAAAUUAAAAAUAACCAAUUUAUUAACAAAA